AAUGUAAGCAGUAAGAGAGUAUUAUGCAAAAAUAUCCUAAGGUAAUUUCAGUAUAAAUUAUAGGACAUUUAUUAAUAAUAUACGUUAUGAGAACAAUCAUUUGCAGUCUCACUGUGAAGGCAAAAACAAAACAAAAACCAAAACCCAAAGGAUAAACAGAAAUAGCACAGUCCACCGAAUACACUGCAUGGUGUUUAUAACUGUAUAACCAAACUAAGUAAUCUUUCCCCUCUCUUUAACUUUUAUGCACCACUUGCCAUUCUAGAUACUAUCAAUCACACUAAAUAAUAAAAACCAACCACCUUCAAUCUGAUCAUUCUGGGCAGGAAACUGAAUACAGUUUUGACCAGAUCAUCGAGAAAGAUUCAUAUACACGAAAUUAACUAGUUCUGUUAAAAGGCUGCUAUAAAAAUACCAUCAUUACGAGCUAUACAGAAUUUUAGAAUCCAGCUAAGAGUGCAGAAAUACUGAAUUUCUUAAUUUAUCUGGAGGGGGCUGUAAACCCAAAGGUAAGUCCGCUCCCGGCCACCGAUCCUUUGUUUU
rnacentral:antisense_RNA from 1 species